UUGUCGCAUUUGAUUUGCCUGUUUCCUCAGUCCUGGCAUUAGAAACGGCGAUGUGGCAUUUGGUCGCGCUACACCGCUAGUCGCUGGAAAAAGCAGGUUGUUCGUGGGACCGUUUCGAAAACUGUCACGCUACUGAGAAAUGUUGUUAACUUUAACGUCAGAGUUUCAUUCUGAUCCCACAAUCUGUCAGCAGAGAGAUCAAAAGAUCCAUGUGAAUCACUCGAAAGACCAGAUGCAGAUAGGCCAGAAUCCAAAUGAAUCGCUCCGCUCGGAUCGGCAGCUCGACUUCACUUAGUUCGUUUUUGGUUUCAAUAUGAAUAUCUCAUCAUCGGUUGGAGUGCUUCACUUUUGAGCAAAUUCUACCACCCGUUUUUGCAAUACAAGUAGAUGAACAUGUCCUCUGGGUGGCAGCAUGUUUAGAAAGUGGAGUCUCCCAAGCCUCCGAGGGAAAACUGACACACAUGGAUCCAAUAUAGGAAAACCUUCAUACAGUAGAAGUAGACGACAUGGAGCCAUCCUUCGUUCGGAGGAGGAAGUUAGUGGUGUUCAUGUCUGCUACUGUUUUUCAUUUGCAGUCACAAAACUUUUGAACGACUUCCAAACAACUUCCCCUUUCACAAACGCAAAGGUGUACCUCCAGCCAAUGUGAUUUGUAAAGAUUUUCAGAUUGUAGCUGAUGUCUGAUUAUUCAAAGCUAUUAUUCGUUUAUUUCGCCUUUCAGAAUCGGAGACAUUACUUGUUAGUCUGCCUUCCUUAAGUAAAUGAGCAUGUUCCGCCUGUUUUUUUUUUGUUUUUUUUUUGUUUUGUUUUUUACUUAACCUAAAACAUUUUUACUAGCCCCACUACAAAAAAUUACAC